UACCCAACUUUACGAAAAAUUGCACGUGAUGUCCUUGCUAUUCCAGUGACAACGGUGGCAUCCGAGUCAGUCUUUAGCACUAGUGGCAGAAUAAUCAGUCCACAUCGUAGUAGGCUUGCCCCAUCAAUGGUUGAAGCACUUAUGUGUAUGCAAGCAUGGUCUCAGGCCGAUAUGUUAGGAUCUCAGUCUACUUUCGUUGGUGCUUUGAUGACUUGUCUUGAUGAAAAAGAUGAAGAAAUGGAUGAAGAUGAUUCCACCAUAAUUGAUGAAUGAAUGA